rnacentral:misc_RNA from 1 species
CGCACAUUGCGCCCCUCGGUAUUCCGGGGGGCAUGCCUGUCCGAGCGUCGUAAAAAAGUCCUCAAGCAAAUUUGCUUGGUGUUGGGUCGCGCUGCGAGAGCGGCGAGCCCUAAAAACAGUGGCGGCGGCGUCUAGGCUCCGAGCGAAGUAGAAUACACUCACCGCUAGGGGGACUGGGUGCAUGCUAGCCAAACAAAACACGGCUGUCUUUUGCGAGACCAGCUAAACUAAGUCUUGACCUCGGAUCAGGUAGGGAUACCCGCUGAACUUAA